GAUGAAGAACGCAGCGAAAUGCGAUAAGUAAUGUGAAUUGCAGAAUUCAGUGAAUCAUCGAAUCUUUGAACGCACAUUGCGCCCGCCAGUAUUCUGGCGGGCAUGCCUGUCUGAGCGUCAUUUCAACCCUCAUGCCCCUAGGGCGUGGUGUUGGGGAUCGGCCAAAGCCCGCAAGGGACGGCCGGCCCCUAAAUCUAGUGGCGGACCGGUCGUGGCCUCCCCUGCGAAGUAGUGAUAUUCCACAUAGGAGAAGCGACGAGCCCCUGCCGUUAAACCCCCAACUUUCUCAGGUUGACCUCAGAUCAGGUAGGAAUACCCGCUGAACUUAAGCAUAUCAAUAAGCGGAGGA
rnacentral:misc_RNA from 1 species